rnacentral:misc_RNA from 1 species
UCUAAGGAGCUGCCUACAUGCCCGUGUUUAAUGUUUUGUUUUUUGUGGGUGUGGCUGGUGUCCCUGUUUUGGGGUGUUGGUUGUGGUGGUUUUUAGUGGAAAAUGGUUGAGAUGAGAAGUUGGCAUGCUGUUGGGGUGUGGGGUAAUACUCCUUGUGCUGCCUGUGAUGGGCUGAUGACUGUUUGGGUUGUUGGUUUGUUGUGGUGUUGGUGUGGUGGUUGAGAAUUGUAUAGUGGACGCGAGCAUCUUUGGUUUUUUGUAAGUGUUCAAGAGCGUUCGGUGGAUGCCUUGGCAUACGGAGCCGAUGAAGGACGUUGUAGCCUGCGAUAAGCCUCGGGGAGUUGGCAAACGAGCUGUGAUCCGGGGGUGUCCGAAUGGGGAAACCUGGCCAGAGUUGUUUCUGGUUACCAGCAUCUGAAUGUAUAGGGUGUUUGGGGGUAA